UGAUCCGCCCAACAGCCUUCAAGCCAGUGCUGCCCAAACCUCGAGGGGCUCCGUCCCUGCCUAGCUUCAUGGGUCCUCGGGCCACCGGGCUGUCUGGGAGCCAGGGCAGCCUGACGCAGCUGUUUGGGGGCCCUGCCUCCUCCUCCUCUUCUUCCUCCUCCUCUUCAGCUGCUGACAAACCCCUGGCAUUUAGUGGCUGGGCCAGUGGCUGCCCAUCAGGGACGCUAUCCGACUCUGGCCGAAACUCACUGUCCAGCCUGCCCACCUACAGCACCGGAGGUGCCGAGCCAACCACCAGCUCCCCAGGCGGGCACCUGCCUUCCCAUGGCUCUGCCCCGCCUCCACCUCCUUCGGACGAGGCCCUGCUGCACUGUGUCCUGGAAGGAAAGCUCCGAGACCGGGAGGCAGAGCUUCAGCAGCUGCGGGACAGUCUGGACGAGAAUGAGGCUACCAUGUGCCAGGUGUGGUCAGAGGCAAUGAUGGGGAAGGGGCAUGGCAGGACAUCCCAAGGCCCUGGGAUGCAAGUGGCAUUUCCAUUUUGGCAGGGAACGGGGGUUGGGUAGUUGUAGUUGUGACCCCCCUGCCCUCCCCACCAGUUGUCUGGUUUAAUGUGUGGAGUAGCCAGUUGUGGUGGCUCACAUCUGUAAUCCCAGCACUUUGGGAGGCCGAGGUGGGCGGAUUGCUUGAGCUCGGGAGUUUGAGACCAACCUGGGUAACAUGGGGAAACCCCAUUUCUACUAAAAAUAAAUUAGCUAAGUGUGGUGGCAUGUACCUGUAGUCCCAGCUACUUGGGAGGCUGAGGUGGGCGGAUCACUUGAGCCCAGGAGGAGGAGGUUACAAUGGACUGACAUUCCACCAUUGUACUCCAGCCUGGGCGACAGAGCAAGACUCUAUCUCAAAACAAAAAACAAAACUUGUGGGGUGGAAAGGAAUCAGAGUGCAUGGAUU
rnacentral:lncRNA from 1 species